CUGACCUCAGGUGAUCAGCCCGCCUCAGCCUUCAAAGUGCUGGGAUUACAGGUGUGAGCCACCGCGCCCGGCCAGGCAGGGACACUUUUUACCUAUCUGUAAACUCCCCAAAGUGCAGACUCCAGACUUGUGCACUUGGAGGUCCUGAGCUCCCGGUUAUGUAUUGAAUGCGGUAAGGAGUGAGUGAUCAGGGUUGUGGGGUAAAAGGGGAUACAGGAAAUAAAUUGGAAAAGAGGAAGAAGAGGGACCCUUUAGCGAGUGUUUUUUAGCCUUUUUUUCUGAGCUCUAUAGUUAGAAAUACUUUUGACAUUGUGACCCGAUACCCCAUACGUACCGUGUAACAGAAAUAGAUGUCUCGUGAUGCAGUCCUUGUUCUAACCACUUAGAUUCCGCACACAGCUUUUUGAUAAUGCAUUCUUUUAAAAUGCUGAUCGUGAUCCACUGAAUUGAUUUUCUGACCCACUAAUAGGUCACGACCAUGUUGAAAAAACACUGGGUUCGAGCAGAAUUAUACCCUCACUGAAAUAUGUAUGUUUUCUUCCAUGCUCCUGGCCGGAACUUAGAUUCCUGUCCUGCAGUUCACAAUUUAGUGAGACAUACAGGAAGGUGAACAAAAUGACCAUACAAAUUGACAGUAGAUGUUACAGGGCCAGAGCAGAGCCACCAAACCUUGGCUUGGGAUGAGGGUAUCAGGGAAGCCAGGGGAGCCAGGACAAAACAGUUAAAAUGUUAAAAUAAUUCAUUCUGGGGAAACUCAGAGUCUGUUCUAGAUCCUAGUCAAACUCAGAUGCCUCACAAUGGUUCUCAAAAAGUUGUCCACAGUGGCUAGUCUCUUGCAUAUUAAUAUUUAUUAUUAAUACUUAUAUUCGCCAUGUUUUCCUUUCUGGUACAAAUUAGUUUAUGUGUGAUCACCCCCCUUGGGAUUUCUCCAGAAGCUGGACCUGGCCUACUAUUUGGUGUAUGUGUGUGUUUAAAUGGUUUUUGGGAACUGCUAAUUAGUCUCGCUUCAAAAUGAUCCUGUGCCACAACAGUUUGUGAAUACUACUCAAAUCAGAACGCUGGAGGUUCCUUGGAAAAACUGGACCAGAGAAAAUCCAAAUUGACUGAUAGAGACUCUCCCCAUAGAUAUCCUGAGUGAAGUUAAUGAGGAAGCUAAGUACUGUCCUGUUUUUGUGUUUCGAGAAAAGCUCUCAGUCAGAGGCCAGACCAUGAGGUGUUAACCAGAGCAAGACUAGCACAAAUUGUACCAUUUCAUUCCAGGGAAUAGACAUCUACUUGGUGACAGCAGAACUAUUAGUAAUAGAUGACUGCCUUCCUUGUGAUAGUGUAUUUCUUACUUUGUGCCAGUAUAUGAGUAAUACAUGUUCAAUCUAGUAGAUUUCAGAGGUAAAACUAUAAUGGAGUCUGAGGAAUAAGAAAGACUGAAUUAAGGUGGAAGAAGGAAGGCUUAAACAUUGCCAGAGUGGGGGCAAAGCUGUCAUGAAACAAGAGAUUCGGGUGCUGUGUUUACAUUUGGGAAAAGUAAAUUUGCUGAAAAUAAUCCCAGUAAAUUCUGGUUUAAAAAUGAUGUCCCUGUACAUCUUUCAUGUGGAGAUGAACAUACUGCUAUUGUUACCGG